ACUAUGCAUAAAAGGUGAUAUAUGCAGCGCUAUAGGCUGAUUAUUAAAAGUUAAAUACUCUUUUAUAGUAGUUAGACGUGUAUUCAUCGAACAGAGUCAACGGUGUAAUCUACUAUAGCGAUCAACAUGGGCAAAUUAAAUAUUUUUGAAAUAACGCUCUCCAACCUACAGGGAGUAUUCCUUUCCGGUCAAUUAAUACAAGGCCACGUUACUGUGGAAGUAAAUGCUCAAAUUCAAAUCAGAGGAAUAAGACUACAUUUUGAAGGCGGUGCACACGUUCACUGGACAGAACAACACAGAACAGGUAGCAGUAAAAAUAGAAGAACAGUCACUAGACACUAUUCAUCCAGUGAGACAUACUUCGAUCAUAUAUUGGUCUUAUUUGGCAAAGGUCCAGGACAGCCGGGAGACGACCCAAUUUUACAAGCAGGGAGAUAUACAUAUCCAUUUAGUUUCCAGUUGCCCACAGGAAUACCAUCAUCUUAUGAAAGUCAUACAGGGCGGGUUCGAUACUCAGUGACUGGUGUAAUCGAUCGUCCCUGGAAGUUUGAUCAUACAACGAUACGACCCUUUGCAAUUGUCUAUCCUCUAGAUCUUAAUUUAGAACAGCAGGCCACGCUAGGUGCCAUAGGGACUGAUCAGAAGACGUUAUGCUGUCUGUGUUGUGAAUCCGGACCAAUUAGCGCUGUGUUGAGACUUGAUAGAUUAGGUUUUGUACCUGGUGAGGGCAUUCCAAUCAGUGGUGAAAUAAAUAAUGGUAGUCGACGAAAAAUGGACAGUUCCUUCGCUGACAUUAAAAUGACCGUCAAUUAUCACUCUAGAACCAAGACAAGAACACUUACUGAUACUGUAUCUACAAUCUGUCAUGGCCCCAUCCUACGGGGUGAUAGUGAUACUUGGAACGGAGAUCUACUGCCCAUACCACCGUUACCUCCUUCUGGUUUACGAGGAUGCCGAAUUAUGGAUAUAACAUAUACAGUGACGUUAAAUGUUGUUCCGUCCGGUUUAGCUUUUGACUUGGUGGUGCCAAUUCAUAUUUUAAUUGGUUCUAUACCUCUCCAGUCAGUAGCACGACAACAUGGUCCACCACCACCUCUACCUCUACCACCCACAGAUUAUUCAAGCACAGGGUCUAAUACCACACCAAUGCAACCUACCAUGCCAUCGGCACCUUCCAAUAUGGGAAUGCAUCGGUGCUGACCAUUACAGUUCUGCGUUUGGCUUUAAUCUUCAUAUCAACUCUUCUCCGUUGUACCGAACGUUUUCUAACAGAUGUCUGGCCAAAUGUAUUUAUGAUUUGAUCAACAACUGACAUGAGGUUGACCCCAGACUAUGGGGAAAACAGGGCUACAUCGGAUUUAUGUGGAUUUAGCUCCCGAUCUACGCACUAGAACAAAUGAAAUGGACUUGUGCGAACUCUAUCACAAUUCAGAGUCGCGCUUCAAUAUUUGACAGAUUUAUUAACUCUCUUCACCAGCGUAUUAUCAUCGGAAUCAACAUGACAGUGGUCCAAUAGUGCCCGUAGCCGAAUAAUUAACCAGUGGCUGUAUCUGAACAAUAAUAAAACAAUCUUUGAAACAUUUUAUCCAAAUGGAGUAGCAGUAGUAGUAGUAGUAGUUUAUUAACGUCUCACCAGUUAUAAAUACAUCACAUUCAAAAGUUAUAAUAUACUAAGAAUUAAAAGAAACUGCCAUUCAUUAAGAAUUAUGAGAGACGAGAUGUACAUUAUAUAGACACAAAUAAAUAGGCAUAGUAAAAUACAAAUAACAGAAAAACACACAUACAAUGUGAAUUUUAAAAUUUACAUCUACACUAGGCUAAAAAUAGGAACCCAAUCACGAACAUGGGUAUAAAGUUUGCCUCCGUCUUUUUAAAAUAUCGCAGCAGGUUUUGGCACUCAACUUAACUACUUCGUCACUGGACAGAAUAAAAGACAUUUUAUCAGAGCUAUUAAAAGACGCAAAGUUUGGACACACAUCCUGUAUAAAAGUGAAUAAAACAUUCCUAAAAUCGCUAUAUAAAUCGCAUUCUAAAAGACAAUGUUCUUCAUUUUCGACUUUAUCUGUACAAUAAAAACAAAGACGGCUCUCAACGGGGAUUCCUUCAUAUCGCCCAGUUUCUAGACGGAGCGGAGCUACUCCACAUCUAAAUUUCGCCAGAGCACUGCGAUGGGAGGGAAUAAUAUUGUCCGUUACAUAUUUCUCAGGUCCAUACACAAACUUAAACAAACGAUAAGACCGGAGCUUAUUAUGACCUUGGCCGGCUUUAGCACUAACAUGGGUUACAUCAUUGAACCAUUUUUCUAAAGACAAAUGGGAGUUUCUUUCGAAAACGUCACAAACAAGUUUUCGGGUAUUUACAUGACUAUUCAUAUCUAUAUUGAUAUCUAGUUUCUUUAAAUGAUUCUUAACUCUAAAAUUCCAGUUUUUGGUUCUUUUUGCCUUUAAAUUACUCCAGUUAAAACAAUCUUAGUUACUCGACUAUCCGUCAAAUUGCAUAAUCUACCGUAGUGUCUGAUCACACUAUCCCAUUGGCGAACAUGUAUAGGCACCCACCCCAUGUCCCCGUUAACAGCAGCAUGGAUGUAUUAAAAUUAGUUGCUAUGAUAUAAUGAGUACUGAACGGAUUGUAGGCCUAAGCAUUGGUUCAGGUCAUGGCUUGUGGUCUGCCAAGACCGUGUAGCAAUGAACUCUACUAGUGUACGCAAACGGUGUGGUCUAGCGAUUUCGCCAGUAACGAUUGGCAUAGUGAGAGGAGGAAGAUGGUCAAAUAUUACGUCGAUACAGUGGCCAUUGGGAUUACAUCUAACUGUUACCGGCUUGCAGUCCCAUGAAAAGCAUGCUGUUCUAGGGCGUUCCUCUGUGCAUAUGCCAUAUGCCUAUGUCUGCAUACCCGUGCUCUACCACCCUUUAUGAUGAAUGUGUGUAUUUCUGAUGUUACUGGAUAAAAUAGCCUAUUUCGCUGAUUAUAGUCAUUAUGUUCGUGGAAGUAUUUCUGAUUUUACUGGAUAAAAGAGUAUAUUUUACAUAUUAUAUGUAUUAUGUACAUGUAGAUAUUCACAAUGAUAUUGAAGUAAUUUAUUUAUUUAGUGUAAAAGGGGGUGUCCAUACCGCCAUUCAUCCACCCGAAAAUUUUUAUUUUUUGAAAUUUACCAAAUAAGUUUUAAUUUUCGCUUUCAGUGUUAAUUGAUGAUGUCCAUAAUUAUGUAUAUAUUUUACUAUGCUGUGGUUAAGUCCGAUUCACUAUUAUCAUAUUUCUGUAUUUUAAAUAAUUUGUUAUUAUUUGUUACA